rnacentral:rRNA from 1 species
UACGGAGGUGGCAAGCGUUGCUCGGAAUCACUGGGCGUAAAGGGCGCGUAGGCGGGGAGGUAAGUCGGGUGUGAAAUCCCUCGGCCCAACCGAGGAACUGCGCUCGAGACUGCUUCUCUUGAGUCCCGGAGAGGAAGAUGGAAUUCCCGGUGUAGCGGUGAAAUGUGUAGAGAUCGGGAGGAACACCGGUGGCGAAGGCGGUCUUCUGGACGGUGACUGACGCUGAGGCGCGAAAGCGUGGGGAGCAAACGGG